rnacentral:tRNA from 1 species
GGUCUCAUGGUGUAACGGUUAGCACUCAGGACUCUGAAUCCAGCAAAUCCGAGUUCAAAUCUCGGUGAGACCU